rnacentral:lncRNA from 1 species
UGAUUGGUUGUUGCUUUUCGCCGCCGCGUAUUCGCAGAAUAUAACUGAAAAGAGGCAAACAUUGCAUCUUAUGCUCUGAUGGUGAACGUCUAUCCAUUCUUUGUAAGGAUGCCAAAUCUUUCUCCACUCCUAAAAUUCUAAGGGUGAUUCUGUUCAUAGCCCUCAUUUUACUCUUUAUAGCCCAUUUUCUAGAAUAUUAAUAAUAAUUAAUUAAAAAUUUACUGUUUUAUCUUAUAUUUUAUAGCCCCCAAUUUUUAUUUUUAUUUUUAUCACCUUUUAUAGCCCCCAAUUAAAUUAAUUAUAAUUAUUAUGUUUUGUUUUGUAGACUCUUACGCUUUUCCUGUUGUUGGAGUUUUUUCUUCUAAAAUUUUAAUUGUUCAUUGUUUAUUGAUCUUCAUCUUCUUCAGGACCCCCUCCUCCGCCGCCAUGUGUAGCGAGUGAUGGCUGGAAUCGCAGAAGAAGACCAAAGGAGCUAUAAAAUAUAUAUUUGCAAUUGUGUUGUUCAAAUUUUCAAGAAUCAAGAGG